rnacentral:rRNA from 1 species
CAAUUAAAAUUAAGGGCGGAUGGAGGAUGCCUUGGGAUAUCGAGGCGAUGAAGGACGUGGCGUGGCUGCGAUAAGCCUCGGGGAGGUGCUUAGCAACCUUUGAUCCGGGGAUUUCCGAAUGGGGAAACCCAAUUUCGUGAUAAACGAAAUUACCGAGUGCAUUAAUUAUGUACUUGGAGCGAACCCGCUGAAGUGAAACAUCUCAGUAAGCGGAGGAAAAGAAAAAAACAACCACUAAUAUACUCACGAAUUAAAAUCACUUUUAAUUACGGAGUAAUUACAAAGAGCCGAGCGACUGAUUUGUAUUUUCACGAAUUUGAAUUUGUUAUUAUUUGUGAAAGAUUCGUGUAAUUAUUAGUGGUACCAUUCCCUUAGUAGGGGCGACCGAAAAGGGAGAAGCCUAAACCUUGUCCUGUCUACGACAGGACGGGGGGUUGUAAGAAAGUAACGUCGGGAGUCAAGCACAUAAUUAUUUAUGUGCUCGGCUCAAGAGGGAGAACACUUAGACGGAGUUUGGUUAGGAGAAUUACCCUGGAAAGGGAAGCCAAAGAGGGUAAUAGCCCCGUAUCUAAAAAUCACUUCGUGCUCCUUGUUAUUUGUCUUGAGUACCACGGGAAACGAUAGCCCUGUGGGAAGCAUCCGUGACUAAAACGGAAAGGCUAAAUACUCGAUAUCACCGAUAGUGAACUAGUACCGUGAGGGAAAGGUGAAAAGUAGGGAGGUGAUCCCGGUGAAAUAGAACCUGAAACCAUCUCGCCCACAAAGAGUCGGAGCUCGUCCUACGCUCUUUGCUUCGCGUCGAGCUUCGGAACGACAAGCUAUAUAAAAAUAUUGAAUAUUAUAUGUAGGGCUUGCCAUUCCGUAGCUCCGAACGAAGUGAGGAGCGUAGGGUGGGUGACGGCGUGCUUUUUGCAGAACGAGCCAACGAGUCUAAGUACUCAGUUUAGUCUAAGGGGUUUUGCCCCGAAGGCACAGCGAAAGCAAGUGUUAAAAGCGCAACAAUACUGAGUGUUUAGGACCCGAAGCCAAGCGAGCUUACCAUGGCCAGGGUGAAUCUUUCCGAAAGGCGAGAGGAGGCCCGAACCCGUGAGCCGUGCAAUACUCUGGGAUGAGCUGUGGUAAGAAGUGAAAAGCUAAUCGAGCUUGGUAAUAGCUGGUUCUCCCCGAAAUAGCUUUAGGGCUAGCCCGAGUUUAUACUACCUGCAGGGGUAGAGCACUGAAUGGGUUAUCUUGGGUUUUACUCAGACAAUUCAAUCAAACUCCGAAUACUGUAGGUAUGCGCUCGGAGUCAGACUAUGGGGGCUAAGCUCCGUGGUCGAAAGGGAAACAGCCCAGACCUUCAUCUAAGGUCCCUAAACUUCCACCUUUACGGUGGAUCAGCCGAUGAGGCUGAGAGCUAAGUGUUUUUAAGGAAGUGGGGUUUCAUUGAUAAUUAGGAGGUUAGCUUAGAAGCAGCUAUCCUUUAAAAAGUGCGUAACAGCUUACUAACUAAGAAGCCCUGCGCCGAAGAUUUACGGGACUCAAGCUCGGUACCGAAGAUAAGGAUGCCAUUGUUUUUUGCAGUGGCGUGGUAGGGGAGCGUCUUCUUGGCAGCGAAGCCCAACCGCGAGGAAAGGUGGAGCCAAGAGGAGUGAGAAUGUUGGCAUGAGUAACCGCAAGGCGGGUGAGAGCCCCGCCCACCGAAAACCUAAGGUUUCCUUGGCAAUGACAAUCAGCCAAGGGUUAGGCGGACCUAAGACAAACCCGAAAGGGGUAGUCGAUGGACAGCCGGUUAAUAUUCCGGCCCCCGUGUACGUAAUUCUAAAAAGGGACGGAGUUCAGUAAUUCGAGCAGAUUAUUGGAUUUCUGUUGUUAGUCUAAGAUUUUUUCAAGGGCUAACAGGAAGCUGAGCCUCGGCUCAGUGAACUCGAAUGAGCGGGCUCCCCAGAAAAUCUUUUUAGGAGUUAUUUAUGUGCUCGGUCCGUACCGUAAACCGACACAGGUAGGUAAGUGUAAGUGCACUAAGGUGAACGAGUGAAAGCUUCUGAAGGAACUCGGCAAAAAAGUAGGCGUAACUUCGGGAUAAGCCUUGCCCCGGUGAUGAAUCGGGGCCGCAGUGAAAGUACCCCUGGCGACUGUUUACCAAAAACACAGGUCCCUGCUAAACUCGUAAGAGGAUGUAUAGGGGCUGAGGCCUGACCAGUGCUGGAACGUUAAGCUCGCCGGUCUCUGUCCUUUUGGAUGGAAUGCUGAGUGAGUGAAGCGCCAGUGAACGUCGGCGGUAACUAUAACCGUCCAAAGGUAGCGUAAUCCCUUGCCAGGUAAGUUCUGGCCCGCAUGAAAGGUUUAACGACUAGGGGACUGUCUCCAGAAGCAGCUCGGUGAAAAUGCAAUACCGGUGAAGAUGCCGGUUACCUGCGGCUAGACGGAAAGACCCCGGAAGCUUUACUAUAGCUUGGUAUUGGAUUUUGAGUUUGGAUGCGUAGCAUAGUGGGGAGGCUUUGAAAGACAGAUCUCGGUCUGUCUGGAGCCACCAGUGAAAUACCCAUCUUCUAAAUUCUUUAUCCUAAUCUGGUUGUUUCAAAAGCAACUGGAUACAGUGCCAGGUGGGUAGUUUAAGUGGGGCGCUUGCCUCCUAAAAGGUAACGGAGGCGUUUAAAGGUCGGCUAACCAAGGAUGGAAAUCUUGGUGAUAGGGCAAAGCCAAAAGCCGGCUUUACUGCGAGCAGGAUAUUGCGAGCAGUUGGGAAACCAGAACUUAGUGAACCGAUGGUAGUUAUUAGGACCGCCAGAGAUCAUCAGCUAAAAGUUACUCCGGGGAUAACAGGCUAGUAGGGCCCGAGAGUCCACAUCAACGGCCCUGUUCGGCACCUCGAUGUCGGCUCAUCACAUCCUGGGGGUGAAGCAGCUCCCAAGGGUUUGGCUGUUCGCCAAUUAAAGUGGUACGUGAGCUGGGUUCAGACCGUCAAAAAAAGAAUCUUUAGACAUCGGGUAGACGCGGCGGCUUUCACGAGUAAUCGUGAUCGAACAAACCGACUUAUAUCGGUGAAACCCUUAUAUUUUUUCCUGUCGGAAUAAGGGCAAUACCGAGGAAACCCUAUUUUUAAACAAAAAACAGGGGUUCCGUAGAGACUUCCGAGCACAUAGAAUUUUAUGUGCUUGGGGAUGGAAGUGUUUUAACUUUCCAUAAUACGUCGGUCCCCAACCCCAAUUUUGAAAAAUUGGAGCUGGGUGGUGAUAUAGUCCAUACACUUAGUAAUAAGUGAGAAACCAAAGCACAAAAAAUGAAAUUUUUGUGCUCGGUCGAGCAUAUAAAAUAUUAUAUGCUUUGAUAUGCGUGAGACAGGUUGGUCCCUAUCUACCGCAGGCGUUGAACCUUGAGAGGAGUUGUCUCUAGUACGAGAGGACCGAGAUGAACCAACCUCUGGUCUACCAGUUGUCCUGCCAAGGGCAUAGCUGGGUAGCUAAGUUGGGAAGGGAUAAGCGCUGAAAGCAUCUAAGCACGAAGCCCACCUCGAGAUAAGGGUUCUUAGUUUCCUCAGAGAUUAUGAGGUUGAUAGGAUGUAGGUGUAAGUCCUGUAAAGGAUUAAGCCGAGCAUUACUAAUCAAACGAUU